CUGACACAAGUUAUGAAAUUAAGAAUUUUUCAUCUGCAUUUAAGCCAUUCAGAUAUGCAAAAUGUGUGACAUAAUGUGAUGCGAUAAUGUAUCGCAUAUAUAACAUGUACCGAUUGUGUUUAUCAGAUCGGCUUACAAGAAAAGGAAAUCAUGAACUGUGAUCUAACUAAGACAUGCUGAACCUCAUAUUUGAGCUAUGUCCAAUGUACAUCAAAAGCUUUUCAGACAUGCAUUUUUCUCUGUCAUCAAAGUUAAGCUUGGCUUAGCACUUCCAACUGCAUCCUCUCUUCAUAUAUCUGUUUCAUUUUCAAAAAUGCAGCAAUUAGGGUUUUUCUGUCCCCAGUUGACAAGGUAUAGAUGUAAAUUUCUCUAUAUAUAUAAGCUUGUAAGGAAAAACUGGAGACUUAGUCAAAUUUUUACCAUUAGAAAUUAAUGAAGCUAUUAUUAAAAAUGAAAUCAAUAUAUAAUUCUUGUUCUCAUUUCAUAACCAAAGCAUCUCACUUCUCAUAUUAAUCACAUAUAAUUAGUACCAUAUGCCCCAAAUAACAUUUAUUUUCUCCUAAUUUUCAAAGAAACCAACCAAAUGUAAAUUCGACACAAGCACAUUCAACACAUUUGUACCAAUCUUUUGAUCCCCUUAUGGUACAGAUAUGAAUGUAAAGUGUUGAAAGGGAUAUAAAUUAGGGAGAUUCUCAAAUAAGUACUUAAGUUAAAGAUUGGUUACAUAUUUUUAAUUUCGGUUAUUGAAUUGCAUUUAUUAGAUGUGUUGGUAGAUUUAAUUCAAUAACCGAGAUUAGAAAUAUAUAACUAAUCCUUAACAUAAAAUACUUAUUGGAGAAUUUUCCUAUAAAUCAAAACCUAUAGUAUGUUUCCAGAAUUAGAAGAAAUUGUUAGAUUAUAGGGGAGGGGCAAAUAAUUUUGAUUAAAUGCUGGAUCAUGUGAGAAAAUACCUCCAAUAAGAGCAACUCCAACGGAAGGGGCGCCCGGGCAAGAGGCCCUCUAGGCCCCUAAUCCAGUUUCCAGCUGUCAAGGCUUGUCAGGGCAAGCACUGGGCUCUACUAGCCCGGACAAGGCCCAAGACAAGACUUGCUUGGACUACUGCCUGAGCAAGAUGACUUAAUGCUAACUUCAACAACCAAUUUAAAUAAUAAACAAAAAAUAUAAAAAAAUAUAGAUUUUUCAGAUUUUUUUUAUAUAAAUACGUAGCCAUAUUCUUUACUUCUCACACCAAAACUUUAUACAAAUUUAUUUCUUCAUAUCUCAUGUGAAUAGUGGUUGUCAUUGAGUUGCCAUGGCAAUGGGUAGAAAAUCAACAAAAAAAUUAAUAGGGUAAAUACUAUUCAUGUAAAUAAUAACAAUCAUUGUCUUUCUUUAUCUUUUACACUAACAAAUGAGUAAAAAUACUCUAAGACAACCAAUAAUCCAUCAGAGACAACAUUUUGUUCCUCCUAAAAAGUCAUAGGCUGCCAAGUACUUUCCCUAAAGCAACUAAUGCCAUGUCUGGUAUUUUUAGCACCAAUCACAUCCAAAUCGGCCUACAAAGAUAUUGGAUUUCUUUCUUGUACAUGAUAACUACUGACAGCAAAUAUGAGGCUCUAUCCUGUAUAGUCCACCUACCAAAUAUGAUUACUUACUUCAAUAGCUCUGAAAGAGAAUAUCUCAAAUUUUCAUUUUUAGGUAUUCCAUCACAUCUCCUUAUCAAAUAAUAACGACUAACUUCAGCAUCACAAUCAAAGCCUCAAAAGCUACAAAAAAAAAAGCUUACAUGUGUUAUGAAAGAAGAUAUACAUAAUUCAUAUAAAGAAAAACAAACUAAACACCCAAAAACAACAAUUUUAUGGGAAGCAUGAUUAGUAACUAUAUAUAAACAUAAGUCAAAAUUUACCCUUAUAUACAAUCACAAAGUAAAUCUAAAACGGGUACGUAUAAUCAGUCAUUCUCUCAUACGGAUGUCCGCACGAUAACAAUAUACGGAUGUCAUUGUAAACAUGAAGGGAUAGUAAAAAAUAUAUGACGUCCACAUGAUAAUAACUUACGGACGUCCAUAUAAAAGAAAAUAUGUAUAUUUAAUAUGUCAACAACUCUACAUAUACUAUAGACGGGUAUUAAAACCAAUAGUCCCGAUCUCUUGAACUACAAGGGUCCAAGAAAUUUGUGGUUACUCACCGUUGGAUGUAAAUUCAACGGUUCACUCACUUUUGCACUCCUUUUAAGAAACUUUUUUGAACCGUUGGAUGUUACAUCCAACGGUGGGUGACUACAGUCUCUUGGAUCCCUGUGGUCCAAGAGAUCAGAGCUGUUAAAACCAAAGUGGGAGGAGAGGCACACAAGAUCUAAUAUAUAUUGUGAUGCAAAACUAUACAUUCUCACAUGUGAGAUUUAUUCUGUCAGCACAUACAACAAGAGGAACCAACUUAUUAACUAAGAGGCAGCACUCUAUUAUUACCAAGGGAAUGCAACUGAAUCAGCAACAUUUCAUGAAAGCCUUAUCUUGAGCUAUCCAAGUUUCAUGGCUUAGAAGAUUAAUCUUGUGUUAAAAACUCAUGAGUAGAACUUACCCCUAAAAACCGACUUUGCCGAUUUUUUCACAAAAUGUUUUUCAUCUCUUGCCUUAAACGGCUAGUUAAAGACUAGAAUUUGUCAGAAUUGGUCUACCGUUAUAACAAUUAACCUGAGUAAAGCUUGAGGUAUUUAUUCACAUGAUGUUGUAUAUGAGAAAGCUAAUUAAGCACUGUAUCAUUGUUUCACACUCAACACACCAAAGGAGCCACAAACUAUGCAGCAAAGGUCCAACUCAACAAUCUUCGAUCUUCUUUGGGGUUUCUCAAUCAAUUUAUUCAUAAGAAUUUAUAAGGGAUAUAUACCUACAAUUCAUAAGACCAUCUCCAUCUACAUACAUCUUUCAUAAUUAAGUUCACACUAGUUACAUACAUCUCUCUACAUGUAUACUGAAAAUAAUCUAGACAGCAUAAAGGUUAUUCAUGUGCCAAAAGAAUCAAAGAUCCCACAGCUUGUGUAUACACACAAUCUUGACAAUUUUAAGAAAAAAGGGGGGCCUGACAAGAUUCAAUGUUAUAGAAGAACCCAGAAACUCUUUUCCUGGAAAAUUGCUUUCCAUUCAAACUAACAUAACCAAAAUAUUAUUUCGAUUGCAGGAAAAGAAAAACAAAUUAAUCUGCAAAUGAACAACAACUUACCUGAGAUCAGAGAUUUCUUCACAAAAGUUUCCUAUGAGCUUAUAUGCAGGCAGAUCUAUCAGUGAUGAUACUGAUUAGCUUCAGUUCGUAUUCCUCUUUAUCUUAAAUAUUUACGUACUCACUCUUCGUCAUACAUAAACCUCGUUCUGUGUGUGUUUGAGAGAGAGAGAGAGAGAGAGAGUUUAGGUUACUGCUUGCUGUUCUUUUCCCUUUAAAGGUUAUGAAACAAUUUAGUAUCUAUAAAAACUAUUUUAG
rnacentral:lncRNA from 1 species